rnacentral:tRNA from 1 species
AUGUGCUAUGGUGUAUAAGCACGAAAGUUUUUGGUACUUUAAGGGCUUGUUAUUUCAAGCUGGCACAUA